rnacentral:rRNA from 1 species
AGAGUUUGAUCAUGGCUCAGGAUGAACGCUGGCGGCGUGCCUAAUACAUGCAAGUCGAGCGAACAGAUAAGGAGCUUGCUCCUUUGACGUUAGCGGCGGACGGGUGAGUAACACGUGGGUAACCUACCUAUAAGACUGGGAUAACUUCGGGAAACCGGAGCUAAUACCGGAUAACAUUUGGAACCGCAUGGUUCUAAAGUGAAAGAUGGUUUUGCUAUCACUUAUAGAUGGACCCGCGCCGUAUUAGCUAGUUGGUAAGGUAACGGCUUACCAAGGCGACGAUACGUAGCCGACCUGAGAGGGUGAUCGGCCACACUGGAACUGAGACACGGUCCAGACUCCUACGGGAGGCAGCAGUAGGGAAUCUUCCGCAAUGGGCGAAAGCCUGACGGAGCAACGCCGCGUGAGUGAUGAAGGGUUUCGGCUCGUAAAACUCUGUUAUUAGGGAAGAACAAACGUGUAAGUAACUGUGCACGUCUUGACGGUACCUAAUCAGAAAGCCACGGCUAACUACGUGCCAGCAGCCGCGGUAAUACGUAGGUGGCAAGCGUUAUCCGGAAUUAUUGGGCGUAAAGCGCGCGUAGGCGGUUUCUUAAGUCUGAUGUGAAAGCCCACGGCUCAACCGUGGGAGGGUCAUUGGAAACUGGGAAACUUGAGUGCAGAAGAGGAAAGUGGAAUUCCAUGUGUAGCGGUGAAAUGCGCAGAGAUAUGGAGGAACACCAGUGGCGAAGGCGACUUUCUGGUCUGUAACUGACGCUGAUGUGCGAAAGCGUGGGGAUCAAACAGGAUUAGAUACCCUGGUAGUCCACGCCGUAAACGAUGAGUGCUAAGUGUUAGGGGGUUUCCGCCCCUUAGUGCUGC